AACGAACGCUGGCGGCGUGCUUAACACAUGCAAGUCGAGCGCGAAAGGGGGGGCAACCCCCCGAGUAGAGCGGCGCACGGGUGAGUAACGCGUGGGUAACCUACCCCCGGGCGGGGGAUAACUACUCGAAAGGGUGGCUAAUACCGCUUAAGACCACGGGAUCCACGGAUCCUGAGGCCAAAGGCUGCACCGGCUUGCCGGUGCCGCCACCUGGGGAUGGGCCCGCGUCCGAUUAGCUAGUUGGUAGGGUAAAGGCCUACCAAGGCGACGAUCUGUAACUGGUGUGAGAGGAUGAUCAGUCACACUGGAACUGAGACACGGGCCAGACUCCUACGGGAGGCAGCAGUGGGGAAUAUUGGACAAUGGGGGCAACCCUGAUCCAGCCAUGCCGCGUGUGUGAAGAAGGCCUUAGGGUUGUAAAGCACUUUCAGUGGGGAGAAAAGUGAUUCACCUAAUACGUGAGUCAAUUGAUGUUACCCACAGAAGAAGCACCGGCCAACUCCGUGCCAGCAGCCGCAGUAACAC
rnacentral:rRNA from 1 species